rnacentral:sRNA from 1 species
UGAGUGUUAGUUGAACCGUGAGUUCUUCUUCUGCCUUACUCUUGCCUCUUAGAGGCAGGUGAGGGUUCAUUCUCCUUUUUUUUCUUUGUUUUUAUUUUUUUGUCUUAUUUUUU